rnacentral:ncRNA from 1 species
AUUGUUCUUUGAGCGAAAAUGUCUAAGCCUUCGGGUAUGAUAUUGAGCCGGGAUGAAACCUUGGUUUUGUCCCCAGGGUCGAACUGGAAACGGGUCGGCCUUCCCUAUUUGAAAAAA